CAGGGCACAGACACACACCCGGACACAGAGUCGGACACACAUGGGGCUCGGGUGGACACACCUCACAUACCCAGGGAACGGAUACACACAAACCACACGCCGGGGAUACAGACGUCCAUAAUUGCCAAGGGCACGGAGAGACCACCCACACCCACUCAGAGGCUAGCACACCUUAGUAUAUGUAAGAGUUGCCAUCUGUGCCCUGCAGGGUGGAAUGUGGCAGGGAGGUCCUCAGGGUCUCCGGAGCAGGCCUCGUUAACCUAGCAGUAUAAUGAGGUCUUGGUGACAGGAGGCGCCUGGGGCUGUGGACUAAGAGGCCCGUGCGCCAGGGCUUAGUUGCCUGCAAGCUUCCUUGACUGGCCCCUAGGGAGCGUGGUGUCGAUGUUGGGCCGCCCCUGAGCAGCAGACCCGGCGGACCCCACAGACCCAAAUCCGGCAGUUUGGUGGAGGGAGAGCCCAAAGGGAACACUGGAGCUGCACCAGGAGAUUCUCAGGAUCCCCAACACGGCUGCCAGUGGGGUUUAUAGAGAGGGUCACUCUGUACUCUGCCUUAUCCCCCCGUGCUUCCAACUUCAAGGGGCGUGUGUGUGUGUGUGUGUGUGCGCGCGCUGAGUGGGCAGUGGAGGAGGUUGGGGUGCGAGUUGUCUUGUACCCCAGUACCGGCCCUUCCUCGGAUCUGUUUUCAAUUCAUUCUGCUCCUUGGCCCAGACUUAUGACCUUUGCAGCGUGCGGCAGUAUCAUCCAUCACCCAGGCGCCGCUUACGGGGAUGAAGGGCGCUGGGAGCUCACACAGGGUCGCUGUCAUGCCUACCGCGCUCUCUGGGGACCUCCUCUCUGGCCUGCAGGCCAGGGCUUAACAGUCUUGCAGAUGGUGCCCGGGCUCCCGCUGCCAACCUUGCUAGGCGGUGCCAACCUCAGUCCUGGCAGACAACGGGCAGACAAGAAGAGGAGCUCCUGGCUGGCCAAGCCGACCCUCCCCCACCCGGCAUCGAGCUCAAGACCCCCCCACACGCUUGCCCCACUCCAGCGACCACUUCAGCCUCCCCUCUCAGUGGGUCCGCUCCCAGGUCCCCAAACUCCUCGUCUCCUGCUCCCUUCCCCACACCUUCCCGCUCCUCGCCACCUGCCGCCCUGACCAGGGCCGGCGUAUUUGCAUAUUUGCAUAUGCAAAUAAUAACAUUUGCAUACAGCGCUCCGCAGGGGUGUCUCCGCGAGAACCGGUUAGCUGUCUGCCCUCCGUCCUCACUCGGUACCUGUCGGAAAGGGUUAGGGCAGGGGCCGCGCGGGAGGGGUUAGGCCCCCGGCCUAGCUAGCUCGGUUCCCGGAGGACUUGAGGAAGUGUUGCCAUGGAGACGGCACGCACCCCACCCCCUCCCAGGCCCAGGGUCUCGGGCU
rnacentral:lncRNA from 1 species